rnacentral:lncRNA from 1 species
UGCCAGUCCUUGGAGGAGUUUCCAGGCUGUGAUAAGACCUUAUUUGUGUUUUUGACAGAAUUUGGACAGGAGAAGUCACAUCAGGGAGACCAGAGACUAGAGUAUUGCAUCAUAGAGGAAAGACACUGAUGACAUGAACUCAGGGGAGCAGUGGAACUGGAGGCCUGGGAGCUUGGGACGUGUUCUCUGGGUGAAGUUGGCCGGCCAGCUGAUGACCUACACCAGUGGCAUUCACUCCUCAUGUGUCCCCCAGGAAUUCAUAGUGUGUGUCAUCAGCAGUGGCCACUGCCCUUGCAGGGGAUCCCGUCCUGCAAACACACAUCUUCUGCACACUCAUGCGAAGUCCCGUUGAACCACUCCGGAAGAUCCCAUUCACUGGACUCUUGUCUCCACACUUCGACCGAUGGCAUGAUCUGGCAGUUUUUGCAGCAAAGCCCCAAAACACAAGCAGCCCCAGGUUUGAAAGUGCAAUUUGCAAAGCAACAUGGAUCUUUUCACACGAUGGCCAACACCUGCAGUGUCCAUUGUAAUGAAGUUUUCUUGAGUCCAGAUCUCAAGUCCCACUACAGUGACAAUGGCACCCAGUGGAAUAUAAAAUGCAUCAGCUUUUUGAUACAGCAUGAGUACUUCCUCCUGCACAUUUGAGAAACCAAGGCUACUAAUACUAUGAGGAACUUGUUGGGAAUUGGAGAAAAGGUGACUUUCAUUAUGCUUUAGCAAAAAGACUGGCAGCAUUUUGCCUUUUCUCUUCAGAUCUAUGGAACAUUGAACUUGAGAGAAAUGAUUUAGAGUAUCUGGUGGAAGAAAUUUCUAAGCAGCAAAGCAUUCAAGAUAUGAUGUGGGUGCUGUUAAAGACAUUCAGUUUUAUGUAUUCACAAAGAUAUGGUUUGGAAUUGGAAC